rnacentral:lncRNA from 1 species
CAAGCUAACUUCCUUCUCUGCUUGGGCCGCUAGGAAAACCCUGACCAGGCUGUGGCUGCUCUCCAUCCCCCCUGCAACCCUCUGUUCUGAGCAACCGCAGCCUUCCUCAAACGUCUUGAGGAAGUAAAACCAAGAAGCAACCGACUGACAAAACCGUCUCUCCCUCAGAAUCACUGCAAGGCUUGGGAAGACACCACCUCUCUGGGGCAGCCACUGCCUCUGAGAACCCCCACCUACUACUGGCAAGGGAAGUUCUCGCCUGGCCCCUGGCGACCCCAGAUGCCCUCCUCACCAGCCACCGGAAGAGAAAACACCCACAGGCUGGCCCUCCCCCACCUGGCUCCCCGCUCACCCGGAGUCCCGGAGCCGCCGCCACCGCCGCUGCGACCCCAGCCCCCUGGCCCUGCUUGGCUCCCACCCGCCGCCUGCCGGAGCCCGGAAUGAAUGGAAUGUUCCCGGGGCCCAGGGAGGGACUGCGGGCGGGCGGGGGUGGGGCGUGGGGGCGGGACCGGAGCCCAGGCCACCCUGGCAGCAGUCCGGAUGGAUCGCCCCACGUGGACCCAAGGAGCCCAGGGCCCCUCUACUGGUCUGGACCAGGGCUUGAACACUUAGCUGACCAAGUGGGGGAGCUCUGGGGCACCCCUGUUGUAAAAAAGCUUGACUCAAAACCCCAGCCCCUCCCUCAGCCCUGCUAACUCACAGCCUUGGGGGGACCCAAGAGGCAGAGGGGUCACAGUGCACAAAAAGAAUGCUCCGGUCUCUCUCCGGUUCACAUCCAUUUGACUAGUCCAUUAGGGCAGGAGCCCAGCCCUGCCCUCUGCCCCAGGGCCCUGCCAGGUCUGGGACACCGUACCUGCUCAGUAGCACUGUGAGUCACCAAGGAGAGCUGGGCCAGACCCAGGCUCCCUGCCCCAGGACCCCUCUGGGUGGUGGGCAAAGUGAGGCUUAAAUCCCAGGGCUGCAAACUUACCCCCCACCCAUACCAAGCCCAGGUCACCUGGGGUGGUAGGAGGGACUUGGGUCACACUCCAGAGGCCGCAGCUCCCCUCCACUUCCCGGCCAAACAAAGCCUCAGGUGACCUGCCAGGCCAGGUCCCGGAGCAAAGGGUGACCCACCUGACCAGGGAGCUCAGGCCACUGUUGAGGAGGCGCCAGGCACAGCCAGCAAAGCUUCCUGUGGCUAGUGUUCCUGGAACGGGCGCUUCCUGUUUUGCAGAGAGCCCCAGGACCCCUGGCUCACCGGGGCUGCCGGGGAUUUCCUCAAGGGCAUCAGACGGCCUCCUUCCUGGCUAGGGUCCAGAGGUGCACUUCCAAAAAGUUGCACAAACUCCGGCCUGUUGCUGGCCCAGAAAAUGUCUGGACGGGCACUCCUCCCCCAAGCCCAAAUUCCCAGCCUUAGUGUUCAGAACCCAGCCCCCUGCCAGUCUCACUGAAGAGCCCACCCUCCCAAGGAAAGCUUGAUCUCAGAGAACUGGGGCGGGGGGCGGGGGGUAUGUGUGCUGGCAGUGGCCCCCACGGGCAGGACACUUGGGUCUGCGCUGAUGUGUGCACACUGGGCUCAGCCAGACCGGGGCCUCAAGGUCACCCACCCCCCACCCCGCCCCGUGGUCAGUAGAAAGCGCGUCUAACCCCAUUGCCUUCCCCAGGUGGGGCCCAGCCCCCACUCACCGAGGCUCCCGUAGUCCAGCUCAGUGUCUGCUCUGGGCCAGCAUCAAGAUUCUCUAGGAAGCAAAGGAGCAACAGUGGUCUCACCACAAGCCUGGCCCAGCUGCACCAGUUUCCUCUGCUCCGUGUCUGGGGGGCGGGGAGCGACUCAAGGGGUCCCAUCUGGCCCUUGCUAUCCUGGCGCAGGAGACCCCCAACCUUCUCUGCUUCCUCCACCCUGCUCCCAGCACACCCGGCCCUCAGAUGCCAGCCUCCAGGCCCCCAGUGCAUAAACACCCAUUUGGUCGUCCCAGAAUACAAGCCUGACACAUCCCUCUUUCUGUUCAAAAGAAGCCGGGGAAAACAGGGGCAGGGAACAGCUUUCUUUCAUUAGAAGUCUGUCGGUAUCAUCUGCCUUUUUUUUCUUUCUUUUUUUUUUUUUUUUUGCCUUUUUAUUUUUUUUUUUUAAUUUUUUUUUUCAACGUUUAUUUAUUUUUGGGACAGAGAGAGACAGAGCAUGAACGGGGGAGGGGCAGAGAGAGAGAGAGAGACACAGAAUCGGAAACAGGCUCCAGGCUCUGAGCCAUCAGCCCAGAGCCCGACGCGGGGCUCGAACUCACGGACUGCGAGAUCGUGACCUGGCUGAAGUCGGACGCUUAACCGACUGCGCCACCCAGGCGCCCCAUUUUUUUUUUUGCCUUUUUAAAACUAGGUACGUAUAUUACCUUGAUUAAAAUAUAAAUUACUUUCUGAAAAAUGAGCAUACCCACUUACUACGAAUUAGUAGAAUACAAAUUCUACUUACUAGCUGUGUGACUUCGGUCAAUUACUUCCCUUUGCCUCAUUUCCUCACCUGUAAAAUGGAGUCACAGUGAACUCCCCCGGGAGUUUGUAAGGGCCAAAUGAUUCAUUCAUGAAAACCCUGGGCAGACCAGUUACACUGUAGCACUCAGCAGUGCUACUGCCUCCUACCACCUUGGAUAAAUAGCCACGUGUGUCCACGGGGGGAGACAUGUUCAAGGAUACUUCUCAGCAUGGUUGAUUACCAAGAAAAUGUGGCAACCACCCAGCAUCCAACCAGAGGACCCCCAAAAAACAACCAUGCCGACGCACAUGGGUGGUCCAUGCUGAAUCCCACGGAGCCCAGACAGGACAGUGAUGGCUGUGGCACAGGACUCCAGGUGCCUUCAUGGGUGUGUAUACGGGUGUGGGGUUAACUGCUGAGUUCUAGAAGCCUUCGUUCAAACUGAAAAUAGGGGCACCUGGGUGGCUCUGUCGGUCAAGCAUCCAACUCUUGGUUUCAACUCAGAUCAUGAUCUCCUGGUUCGUGGGACUGAGCCCCAUAUCAGGCUCCUCACUGACAGCACAGAGCCUGCUUGGGAAUUCUCUCCCUCUCGCUCUCAAAAUAAAUAAACUUAAAAAAGAAACCUGAAAACA